CAACCCUUAUCCUUUGUUGCCAGCGAUUAGGUCGGGAACUCAAAGGAGACUGCCAGUGAUAAACUGGAGGAAGGUGGGGAUGACGUCAAGUCAUCAUGGCCCUUACGACCAGGGCUACACACGUGCUACAAUGGCGCAUACAAAGAGAAGCGACCUCGCGAGAGCAAGCGGACCUCAUAAAGUGCGUCGUAGUCCGGAUUGGAGUCUGCAACUCGACUCCAUGAAGUCGGAAUCGCUAGUAAUCGUGGAUCAGAAUGCCACGGUGAAUACGUUCCCGGGCCUUGUACACACCGCCCGUCACACCAUGGGAGUGGGUUGCAAAAGAAGUAGGUAGCUUAACCUUCGGGAGGGCGCUUACCACUUUGUGAUUCAUGACUGGGGUGAAGUCGUAACAAGGUAACCGUAGGGGAACCUGCGGUUGGA
rnacentral:rRNA from 5 species